GGUUAUUGUAAUACUUUUAACUCAUUUAAAAGAUAUUUUUUGAAAUAAAAAAGUAAAUAUUUAGCACAUAAUAAAAUCCACGCUCUACUACUUUUCCCUAACCAUAUUUUUAAAGGUCAUCCAAUCUUUGGCUAUUCAAAGCCACUCUCUGAUGUGCAACUGCCAACAGAACUAAAUGUCAUGCGGCAUAUGGUGUAUUUAAAGGAAAAUAAUCAUAAUAUGAAUAAACAAAAGAAAAAUCAAUACUUGAGGGAAUGGCGCCAAAGUAAUCAAGCCUUAAUUAAGAUCAUAAAGAUACUUCUGAAACUGAGAGUUCUGAUCUAGACUCUGAGGGACCUAUGAAUGAUGAUAAUGAAGAUCUUAAUGAUGGAGUACUUGUUACAGAGAUUGCUAAAUGGAUUUUAAAAUAUUGAAUAACUAGAAAUAUAAGUGAUGAACUGUUAUUUUUAAUUUUACACCUGUAUGGUCAUCAUAAUGAUUUACCAAAAUGCACAAAAGGAAUUUUAAAUACUCCUAGGAAUGUUCCAAGUGAAUCAAAAGUGGAGGUGAAUAUGUUUAUCUUGGUAUUUCAAACAGCAUGUCAAGAACUUUAGCAGUCAACUAGCAUUAUAGAUUUGAGUCAAAUACAAUUUUUCUAGUUGUCAGUGUAGAUGGUAUUCCCUUAUUCAAGUCAUCAAACACACAGGCCUAUAUUAUUUAUGUUUGACAAAGGGAAACCAUUUAUUGUAUCAUUAUUUGUUGGUGAUAACAAGCCAAAUAAUUGUGAUGAUUUUUAUAUGAUUUUUUGCAUGAGUAUGAGUUAUUAUUGGCAAAUAGUUUUCAGUAUAAUUCAUAUAACUUUGAUUGCAUCUUGAGAAAAAUUGUUGUAAAUGUGCUAAUAAAACGUCAGGAAGUGUAAGCGUAACCACUUUUGAAAGAUUGAGUCCCUUGAAGAGUUUUAUGAACUUGAAACCAAAUUAAAAGACAACCAGGAGUACUCUUUGUCACCUCAAGAAAGCAUGUGAAAAAAAUGUUAAAGAAAAUACAAAAAAUGUUAUGGUCAGGUAUGCAUUUUUGUUUAACUCUGGAUAAUCAAACCGUUUAAAUUGUGAGUAAAUUUAAUAGAAAAAUCUAUCCCAAGGAAAGUAAUUUAAAAAAACAAACAAUUUAAUAAAAAUGUUGGGGAGAACCUUGAUGAAUGGAAUGCUGUUGAAUGGGACAAAAUCAAAUUUGCAUACAAGCAUCUAAGGUUAAUUGGUAAAUAAACUCCUGUGGUAAGAAAUGUUAAACACAACAAUUCAACAGACCAAAUCAUUACUCUAUCAUGGCCUAAACAUGAUGGGCCAAACAUAACAUUAAAACUGUUGCAUAAAUGGGAAUUAAUAGCACAUUUCUCCUGGCAGAACAAACAAUUUUCAAUGUAUAAAUUAGACAAUUUUAUCAACUUUAAAAAAGUCUUUUACAAAAACUGCCCCAUUCAUUUAGGUUCUCCCCUACAGGUUUCAGCUUUAAUUCGAUAUCGAAACUUUGAAUAUAAAUUAUUUAUAAAAAAGUAAAGAACCUUUCAAAAUUAUACUUUGUGAAUUAUUACUCUAAUGUGUGUUUACAAUUAAUUAAAUAAGUUCGCUGGAUUGAUUGAUGUAGUAUAACCAAGUAGUUAUUUUUUAUUUAUUAUUUUUUAUUACGUUUUUACAGAAUUAUUGAGCAUCAUGUUAAGCCCAAAUAUGUUGAAUAUGUAAAGCAAAAUUCGAGGUGACAUAAAGAAGGUAUUAUUCGAAGAUAAAAAGUUGUGUAAAACAAUAAUUGGUACGUUAAUAACACAGGCCAACAGCUAUUUUGGUGCCGGGGUACUUGUAGCAAAUUUUAUAUAAGUUUGAUGCCCUGAACUCAAAUGUAUCGUUAGAUAUUACCAAUCAGCUCGCAUUUUUGAGAUCAUUUUAAUGAAAUAAGAAGCGCCAAUGAAGGGGCUAGGGGGCGAUGGCUUCUUUACCCUAAAAACCAAAAAAUUUUUAUACCUUUUAUGAAAAUGGUUUUUAUCUAUUUGAAAAGGAUUUUGAUUAGGAUCAAAUUAACAAAAUAAACAUGAAAUUUUGAUUAAAUUUUGAUUAUUAUGCUAUAGAAAUGUAUAACUAUAUGGUAUAUUACACUCUAUUAUAUAUAUAGUUGUUAUAUGUAAAGACAAAAGAAAAAAUAUUUAUGAAACAAACUAUAGUCACUAAACAACCCAGAAACUUUUUUUCCGUGACAUUCUUGAAUGUAUUUUAGAACAACUUCUUUUUAAAUUCCAGCAGUAAUCCUCCAUAGUUUUAAUAUCUUCCUGAUCCUCCAUAGUUUUAAUAUCUUGGUGAAAUCUUUCACCUUGCUCCUCACUCAUAUCUCCUAAGUUUUUAGGAAAACGAUCUAAAUGGCUGUGUAAAUAGUGCACCUUAAUACUCAUAUUACAUCUGAGGGAUUUGAAACUGCUAAGCAUGUCGUCAACCAGUUUAACAUAGUUUUCAUCUUUGCGUUUGCCCAGAAAAUUUCUGACAACUGCAACAAAUGAAGUCCAAGCCUUUCGCUCAGUUUCAUUCAUUGAAUUCACAAAGGCAGAGUCAUUAAUAAAUUGUCUUAUUUUCGGACCAUCAAAUAUUCUUAUUUGCAGACAUCAAAUAAGGCCCAGCUUGAUAUGCAGUAGAGGAAAAAGGAUUUUAUCUCGUUCAACUAAGGCGUUGUUAAUUAAAUUAUUUUUCCAAACUUCCAUAUUUUUUCUCUUAGGCCAUUCUUUUUUAGUCCAGUGGUGUGUUUUGUCCCUGCUAUCCCAGAGACACAAAAUGCAAGGAUAUUUAGUGUAACCAGCUUGCUGACCCAGGAGAAAGUUAAACAUUUUUAGGUCCACAUAAAUCACCCAUUGAUGUUGCUGAUACUUUAGCUUUUCCAAGAUUAAAGCAAUGGUUUUAUAUUCUUCUUUCAUUUUUGUUGAGUAAGCAAUUGGUAUUGAACCAAAUUUGUUUCCAUUGUGCAGAAGAACACAUUUUAAACUUCACUUUGAGCUAUCAAUAAAUAGACGCAAGUUAUCUUGAAAAUAUUUAGGAAGACUCAUCUUUUCUAUGAGUCCUCUAAUUUCGUGACAAAAUACAAGAUCCUCUUCUUGAGAGAAGAAGGGUAGCAGAUCCUUUUCUCGUGUAUGGUAGAAAGUAAUUUUGGUUCCUUGUUCCAAUAAAUUUUUGUCCUUCAAUCUGCAAGCAAGUAACUCAGAAGCUUCUUAUGAUAGAUUGAGAUCUCUGGUAAGGUCGUUCAACUUAUCUUGGUUGAAUUGUUGUGGAAUAGAUGCCUUUCCCUCAUAAUCACUGUCAAUUUCAUUAGUAUCAAAAGAAUUAGAAGCACAAUAUUCAUCCUCGCAGAGCUCUGGUAGCUGGAGAAACGUUGGGAUUGGAACUUCCUCUGAGUGAAGAACCGGUCGUCUUGCAGAUAAUAAAUCAGGAUAAGUCCACUUGCUACGGUUGUUUCGAUUGAUUCCAGUAAUAUUUAAUAUGCAGAAAUAACAAUCAUUGAAAUGGUUUCGUGGUUUUCUCCAAACCAUUGGCACGCCGAAUUUCAUACUUUUUCUUUUCCCGGUAGUCCACUGUCGUAAAUGGUUUGUACAAGUUUUACAGACCUGAUGUGGGGCCCAGGUUUUAUCUUGAUCCCCCAGCCUAACACCAAAGUAUGCAAACCCUCUUUGAAAAGUCACUAACUUUUUUUCUGUUUUUUUUUUUAACAUAUAUUCUCCGCAUAUGUCGCAAAACACAUCAGGUGAUUCACACAACUUCUUCUAUUUGAACUCAUUUUAUCUAGAUCUAAAUACAAAAAUGCAAGAACAAUUUACAACACAAUACUAUUUAGGUUAACUUAACAACAACACUUCAGAAAAUAGAAAUAUCACACGACACCAACUUUCAUCUAUUCCGCACGGCAACAACUCUCAUACUAAUCUCAAUUAUAGUUGAUGUUCACUUUUACAGUGUGGUUACUCCACCUAGUGGAUUUUCCUGUUGCAAACAGACCAAUAAACUGAAUAUAUAACAAAUAUAUAGAAUACAGUAACCACACAUUGUCUAUACGAGUUAUAACAUUACUAAAUGGAGUUAAAACUGUUAAUUUCAUGUAAAAUCGCAACUUAAAAAAAUCUCAAAAACUAGAGCUGAUAGAUAAAAACUUCAAUUUCAGAUUCAGCAACAAAAAUAUAGCUAAAAUCAAUUAUUAAAUCUUAGGCGCCAAAAAACUUUUUUUUUUGUAGGCCUGUGUAAUAGCUCAAUAUUGUUCUAUCUAUCCUUCUUUCUUAUAUAUGUUUUCUAUUUUUAGAUAUAUAUUAGUCUUGAAACUUGAAUGUUAGCGUUGAAAAUCAAACAAAUAGUCAUUUAUAAACAAAAUAAAUUUUUAACUGUUAUUCCGUUUACAGUAUCCCAUGUUGUAUUUUAGAAGUCAUCCAGCUAAUGCACGAAAGUUCGACGGAAGUAAACAAAAGAUCAAGUAUGAAGCAUUUUAAAGUUCUCUCUAUUGAACAAUUACUUAUUUUGAGUUUUUUUGUGAAUUUAUUAUUCAAAAGAAUAUAUAAUUCAACUUAAAAAAAAUAUUUAAAAACAUUUAUUACAUUUUU